AUUGAACGCUGGCGGCAGGCUUAACACAUGCAAGUCGAGCGGGGGAGGUUGCUUCGGUAACUGACCUAGCGGCGGACGGGUGAGUAAUACUUAGGAAUCUGCCUAUUAAUGGGGGACAACAUCUCGAAAGGGAUGCUAAUACCGCAUACGCCCUACGGGGGAAAGCAGGGGAUCACUUGUGACCUUGCGUUAAUAGAUGAGCCUAAGUCGGAUUAGCUAGUUGGUGGGGUAAAGGCCUACCAAGGCGACGAUCUGUAGCGGGUCUGAGAGGAUGGUCCGCCACCCUGGGAGUGAGACACGGACCAGACUCCUACGGGGGGUAGCAGUGGGGAAUAUUGGACAAGGGGGGGAACCCUGAUCCAGCCAUGCCGCGUGUGUGAAGAAGGCCUUAUGGUUGUAAAGCACUUUAAGCGAGGAGGAGGCUCUUUUGGUUAAUACCCAAGAUGAGUGGACGUUACUCGCAGAAUAAGCACCGGCUAACUCUGUGCCAGCCGCCGCCGUAAUAC
rnacentral:rRNA from 1 species